AUAGGCGAUUAUUGCAGUGAGGCUCACCUCUUCCCAUACCGAACAGAGAAGUUAAGCUCACUCACGCAGAUGGUACUGCAGUAAAAUGUGGGAGAGUAUGUAGUCGCCACCU
rnacentral:rRNA from 2 species